GGAAUCUUGGACAAUGGGGGCAACCCUGAUCCAGCGACGCCGCGUGGGUGAUGAAGGCCUUCGGGUUGUAAAGCCCUUUUCUCGGGGAAGCUGAUGACGGUACCCGAGGAAUAAGCACCGGCUAACUCCGUGCCAGCAGCCGCGGUAAGACGGAGGGUGCUAGCGUUGUUCGGAAUUACUGGGCUGAAAGGGCGCGUAGGCGGCCCGACCAGUCGGAUGUGAAAGCCCGGGGCUCAACCCCGGAACGGCAUUCGAAACUGUCGGGCUCGAGGACGGAAGAGGAGAGUGGAAUACCCAGUGUAGAGGUGAAAUUCGUAGAUAUUGGGUGGAACACCGGUGGCGAAAGCGGCUCUCUGGUCCGGUUCUGACGCUGAGGCGCGAAAGCGUGGGGAGCAAAC
rnacentral:rRNA from 1 species